rnacentral:lncRNA from 1 species
UUGGGGACGUUGGGGGCAUGUUGAGGACACCAGGGGUGUUGGGGACAUUGGGCACAUGGAGGAUGCUGGGAACCCUGAGGAUGUUGGGGAGAAAGGGGACAUUUGGGACACGGGGGACGUUGGGGAUGCUGGAGACGUUGAGGACAUCAGUGAUGUUGAGGGCAUGAGGAUGUUGGAGACUUCAGGGACAUCGGGGAUGUUGGGUCAUUGGGCACGCUGAAGAUGGGGGUAUUGGGGACACUGAGGAUAUUGGGGACAUGGGGGAUAUUGGGGACAUUGAGGACAUCAGGGAUGUCACGGACAUUGGAGAUAUUGAGGAUGUUGGAGACGUUGAGGCUAUCAGGGACGUUGGGGACACUGAGGAUACUGGGGAUGAGGGACAUCGGGGAUGUUGGGCACAUGGAGGACAUCAAGGAUUUUGGGGACACUGAGGAUGUUGGGGACAUUGGGGGCCUAGGGGAUAUUGUGGACAGUGAGGAUGUUGGGCAUAUGGGGGACAAUUGGGACAUUGGGGACAUGAGGGAUGUGGGGGACAUGGGGGCCAUCAGGGCUGUGGAGGCCAUGGAGGAUGUUGAAGGUGUUGGGACCAUGGGAGACAUCAGGGACACAGGGAAGAGCAGGGCCGUGGAAGCCAUGGGAGAUGCUGGAGGUGGUGGGACCCCAGGGGGACGUCGUGGACGUGGGGAAGAGCAGGGCCAUGGAAGCCAUGGGAGAUGGUGGAGGUGGUGGGACCCCGGGGGGACGUUGUGGAUGUGGGAAAGAGCAGGGCCGUGGAAGCCAUGGGAGAUGCUGGGGGGGGGGGGGCCGUGGGCGUGUCCUCUGUGUCACCCGUGUCCUCCAUGUCCCCCAUGUCACCUCCAUGUCACUCCAGGUCCCCCCCAUGUUGUCCCGUAUCCUCCCGUAUCCCCCACUUUGCCCAUAUCCCGGUGGUCCCGUGUCCUCACGCAUCUCCUCGUGUCCUCUGUGUCACCCGUGUCCUCCAUGUCCCCCAUGUCACCUCCAUGUCACUCCAGGUCCCCCCCAUGUUGUCCCGUAUCCUCCCGUAUCCCCCACUUUGCCCAUAUCCCGGUGGUCCCGUGUCCUCACGCAUCUCCUCGUGUCCUCUGUGUCACCCGUGUCCUCCAUGUCCCCCAUGUCACCUCCAUGUCACUCCAGGUCCCCCCCAUGUUGUCCCGUAUCCUCCCGUAUCCCCCACUUUGCCCAUAUCCCGGUGGUCCCGUGUCCUCACGCAUCUCCUCGUGUCCUCUGUGUCACCCGUGUCCUCCAUGUCCCCCAUGUCACCUCCAUGUCACUCCAGGUCCCCCCCAUGUUGUCCCGUAUCCUCCCGUAUCCCCCACUUUGCCCAUAUCCCGGUGGUCCCGUGUCCUCACGCAUCUCCUCGUGUCCUCUGUGUCACCCGUGUCCUCCAUGUCCCCCAUGUCACCUCCAUGUCACUCCAGGUCCCCCCCAUGUUGUCCCGUAUCCUCCCGUAUCCCCCACUUUGCCCAUAUCCCGGUGGUCCCGUGUCCUCACGCAUCUCCUCGUGUCCUCUGUGUCACCCGUGUCCUCCAUGUCCCCCAUGUCACCUCCAUGUCACUCCAGGUCCCCCCCAUGUUGUCCCGUAUCCUCCCGUAUCCCCCACUUUGCCCAUAUCCCGGUGGUCCCGUGUCCUCACGCAUCUCCUCGUGUCCUCUGUGUCACCCGUGUCCUCCAUGUCCCCCAUGUCACCUCCAUGUCACUCCAGGUCCCCCCCAUGUUGUCCCGUAUCCUCCCGUAUCCCCCACUUUGCCCAUAUCCCGGUGGUCCCGUGUCCUCACGCAUCUCCUCGUGUCCUCUGUGUCACCCGUGUCCUCCAUGUCCCCCAUGUCACCUCCAUGUCACUCCAGGUCCCCCCCAUGUUGUCCCGUAUCCUCCCGUAUCCCCCACUUUGCCCAUAUCCCGGUGGUCCCGUGUCCUCACGCAUCUCCUCGUGUCCUCUGUGUCACCCGUGUCCUCCAUGUCCCCCAUGUCACCUCCAUGUCACUCCAGGUCCCCCCCAUGUUGUCCCGUAUCCUCCCGUAUCCCCCACUUUGCCCAUAUCCCGGUGGUCCCGUGUCCUCACGCAUCUCCUCGUGUCCUCUGUGUCACCCGUGUCCUCCAUGUCCCCCAUGUCACCUCCAUGUCACUCCAGGUCCCCCCCAUGUUGUCCCGUAUCCUCCCGUAUCCCCCACUUUGCCCAUAUCCCGGUGGUCCCGUGUCCUCACGCAUCUCCUCGUGUCCUCUGUGUCACCCGUGUCCUCCAUGUCCCCCAUGUCACCUCCAUGUCACUCCAGGUCCCCCCCAUGUUGUCCCGUAUCCUCCCGUAUCCCCCACUUUGCCCAUAUCCCGGUGGUCCCGUGUCCUCACGCAUCUCCUCGUGUCCUCUGUGUCACCCGUGUCCUCCAUGUCCCCCAUGUCACCUCCAUGUCACUCCAGGUCCCCCCCAUGUUGUCCCGUAUCCUCCCGUAUCCCCCACUUUGCCCAUAUCCCGGUGGUCCCGUGUCCUCACGCAUCUCCUCGUGUCCUCUGUGUCACCCGUGUCCUCCAUGUCCCCCAUGUCACCUCCAUGUCACUCCAGGUCCCCCCCAUGUUGUCCCGUAUCCUCCCGUAUCCCCCACUUUGCCCAUAUCCCGGUGGUCCCGUGUCCUCACGCAUCUCCUCGUGUCCUCUGUGUCACCCGUGUCCUCCAUGUCCCCCAUGUCACCUCCAUGUCACUCCAGGUCCCCCCCAUGUUGUCCCGUAUCCUCCCGUAUCCCCCACUUUGCCCAUAUCCCGGUGGUCCCGUGUCCUCACGCAUCUCCUCGUGUCCUCUGUGUCACCCGUGUCCUCCAUGUCCCCCAUGUCACCUCCAUGUCACUCCAGGUCCCCCCCAUGUUGUCCCGUAUCCUCCCGUAUCCCCCACUUUGCCCAUAUCCCGGUGGUCCCGUGUCCUCACGCAUCUCCUCGUGUCCUCUGUGUCACCCGUGUCCUCCAUGUCCCCCAUGUCACCUCCAUGUCACUCCAGGUCCCCCCCAUGUUGUCCCGUAUCCUCCCGUAUCCCCCACUUUGCCCAUAUCCCGGUGGUCCCGUGUCCUCACGCAUCUCCUCGUGUCCUCUGUGUCACCCGUGUCCUCCAUGUCCCCCAUGUCACCUCCAUGUCACUCCAGGUCCCCCCCAUGUUGUCCCGUAUCCUCCCGUAUCCCCCACUUUGCCCAUAUCCCGGUGGUCCCGUGUCCUCACGCAUCUCCUCGUGUCCUCUGUGUCACCCGUGUCCUCCAUGUCCCCCAUGUCACCUCCAUGUCACUCCAGGUCCCCCCCAUGUUGUCCCGUAUCCUCCCGUAUCCCCCACUUUGCCCAUAUCCCGGUGGUCCCGUGUCCUCACGCAUCUCCUCGUGUCCUCUGUGUCACCCGUGUCCUCCAUGUCCCCCAUGUCACCUCCAUGUCACUCCAGGUCCCCCCCAUGUUGUCCCGUAUCCUCCCGUAUCCCCCACUUUGCCCAUAUCCCGGUGGUCCCGUGUCCUCACGCAUCUCCUCGUGUCCUCUGUGUCACCCGUGUCCUCCAUGUCCCCCAUGUCACCUCCAUGUCACUCCAGGUCCCCCCCAUGUUGUCCCGUAUCCUCCCGUAUCCCCCACUUUGCCCAUAUCCCGGUGGUCCCGUGUCCUCACGCAUCUCCUCGUGUCCUCUGUGUCACCCGUGUCCUCCAUGUCCCCCAUGUCACCUCCAUGUCACUCCAGGUCCCCCCCAUGUUGUCCCGUAUCCUCCCGUAUCCCCCACUUUGCCCAUAUCCCGGUGGUCCCGUGUCCUCACGCAUCUCCUCGUGUCCUCUGUGUCACCCGUGUCCUCCAUGUCCCCCAUGUCACCUCCAUGUCACUCCAGGUCCCCCCCAUGUUGUCCCGUAUCCUCCCGUAUCCCCCACUUUGCCCAUAUCCCGGUGGUCCCGUGUCCUCACGCAUCUCCUCGUGUCCUCUGUGUCACCCGUGUCCUCCAUGUCCCCCAUGUCACCUCCAUGUCACUCCAGGUCCCCCCCAUGUUGUCCCGUAUCCUCCCGUAUCCCCCACUUUGCCCAUAUCCCGGUGGUCCCGUGUCCUCACGCAUCUCCUCGUGUCCUCUGUGUCACCCGUGUCCUCCAUGUCCCCCAUGUCACCUCCAUGUCACUCCAGGUCCCCCCCAUGUUGUCCCGUAUCCUCCCGUAUCCCCCACUUUGCCCAUAUCCCGGUGGUCCCGUGUCCUCACGCAUCUCCUCGUGUCCUCUGUGUCACCCGUGUCCUCCAUGUCCCCCAUGUCACCUCCAUGUCACUCCAGGUCCCCCCCAUGUUGUCCCGUAUCCUCCCGUAUCCCCCACUUUGCCCAUAUCCCGGUGGUCCCGUGUCCUCACGCAUCUCCUCGUGUCCUCUGUGUCACCCGUGUCCUCCAUGUCCCCCAUGUCACCUCCAUGUCACUCCAGGUCCCCCCCAUGUUGUCCCGUAUCCUCCCGUAUCCCCCACUUUGCCCAUAUCCCGGUGGUCCCGUGUCCUCACGCAUCUCCUCGUGUCCUCUGUGUCACCCGUGUCCUCCAUGUCCCCCAUGUCACCUCCAUGUCACUCCAGGUCCCCCCCAUGUUGUCCCGUAUCCUCCCGUAUCCCCCACUUUGCCCAUAUCCCGGUGGUCCCGUGUCCUCACGCAUCUCCUCGUGUCCUCUGUGUCACCCGUGUCCUCCAUGUCCCCCAUGUCACCUCCAUGUCACUCCAGGUCCCCCCCAUGUUGUCCCGUAUCCUCCCGUAUCCCCCACUUUGCCCAUAUCCCGGUGGUCCCGUGUCCUCACGCAUCUCCUCGUGUCCUCUGUGUCACCCGUGUCCUCCAUGUCCCCCAUGUCACCUCCAUGUCACUCCAGGUCCCCCCCAUGUUGUCCCGUAUCCUCCCGUAUCCCCCACUUUGCCCAUAUCCCGGUGGUCCCGUGUCCUCACGCAUCUCCUCGUGUCCUCUGUGUCACCCGUGUCCUCCAUGUCCCCCAUGUCACCUCCAUGUCACUCCAGGUCCCCCCCAUGUUGUCCCGUAUCCUCCCGUAUCCCCCACUUUGCCCAUAUCCCGGUGGUCCCGUGUCCUCAUGUAUCUCCUUGUGUCCCCCGGGUGUCCCCCGGGUCCCCCAUGUCCCCCAUGUCACCUCCAUGUCACCAUGGGUCCCUCCCAUGUUGUCCCGUCUCCUCCCGUAUCCCCCACCUUGCCCAUAUCCCGGUGGUCCCGUGUCCUCACGCAUCUCCUCGUGUCCUCUGUGUCACCCGUGUCCUCCAUGUCCCCCAUGUCACCUCCAUGUCACCAUGGGUCCCUCCCAUGUUGUAUCCUCCUGUAUCCCCCACUUUGCCCAUAUCCCGGUGGUCCCGUGUCCUCAUGUAUCUCCUCGUGUCCCCCCGUGUCCCCCCCAUGUCACCAUGGGUCCCCAAGGGUCCCUCUUGUGUUGUCCCGUGUCACCCCAUACGCUCCGCGUCACCCAUAGCCCAGCAUCCCCGCGUCCUCCCGCGUGUCCUCCUGUCCCACCGAGUCCCCUGGGUGUCCCCGCAGGUCACAACGUGUCCCCACGGGUCCCCCCCCAGGUUGUCCCAUGUC